rnacentral:misc_RNA from 1 species
UGACACUAGUCAACCUCCUCUUGUAUUCAAGUGCCAGUUGUUUGAUCUGACUGGUGUGCCUCCUGAAAGGCAAAAAAAUUAUGGUUAAAGGUGGUCUGCUGAAGGAUGAUGCAGAUUGGUCGGCCUUGGGUGUUAAAAAUGGUCAAAAGUUAAUGAUGAUGGGCACUGCUGAUGAAGCCGUGAAAGCUCCAGAGAAAGGUCCUGUAUUUAUGGAAGACCUUCCUGAAGAAGAACAAGUAGUCGCUGUGGGUCACAGUGCUGGUCUUUUUAACCUGGGAAACACUUGCUACAUGAACUCCACAUUACAAUGUCUUCAUUCAGUUCCAGAGUUGAAAACAGCCUUACUAAGUUAUACAAACUCCAGCAGAAGUAAUGAAGUAGAUCAGA